UAUACUAAAGGAGAGAUACUGUUCAUAUAACAGUGAUUUGGCUCCAAGUGGUUUGACGCUUUUGCCCUCGCUUCAGAUUUUUUUUCCGGCUCUACCUCGGUUCUGGAUACGAUAUCGUCAUUUUGCUCUUUCUUCUACACUCUUCUGACCAUCUUUAUCAAUUGUUGAGAGAGAGAGAGAGAGAGCGGUUGUGUGUUUGCUUCGCACGAGGAGGUAGAGGGAUAGAUCGGAGGGAAAGUUUGAAACCUCAAUCCUGGUUGAGAGAGAGAGAGAGAGUUAGAGAGAUCGGUUGUGUUUGUUUGCUUGGGACGUAUUAACUAUAUUUCGUUCUUGGUUUCUACAGAAAACACAGUCGAAACAGAGAGAGAGAGAGAGAGCGAGAGAGAGUCAGAGAGGAAGGAGAUCUACGUCUUGGAUAGCUCUGCCGUGUACCAAUUACGAAACACCCAAUCUACUAUCUUCGGGAAGCCUCAAUCAGCCAUGUAUCGGAAGUGUGCAGAAGAGAAGAGGUUCGUCUGGAUUUCGUAAUAGCGGUCUUCUGCGACAGAGUGAGGCCGAUCCGAGAGAGAGAGAGGAAGAGCAGGAGACGGGAAGAGCUCAAUUCAAGUUUUUAUGACAGUCAUCAAAUGUACUACCCAGCCAUCAAACUCUCAGAUAGAAUUUUAGCUUUUUCGCGGAGCCUCGAUCGACAUCCAUCUUCACUAUUUCGUAGGAUAUUCGUCUUUUAUACUGGUGGAUUACAGGUGAUGUAACAGCUCAAGUUUGAUGACAGAAAAGACAUGAUUCAUUCAUUUCAGUAAAAUUAUAAAAUAUGAGUAAAUUCACUUAACUAUUAUGUAUGUUUUAUGAUAUGAGAGCGAACAAACUAUAUUUUGGUUUUAUAUUUGGGUUUUCGAUUGUUCUGUUUCUUGGUGAAAUUUUGGGUUUGGUCUGUUUGAUCCUUGAUUGUGGAAAAUGAGAAUAAGGGCUUGGUUUUGGUGUGCUUUGGUUUUUACUGGGUCUUUUCUUUGACUUAGUUUUGGAAAUCUCAGUAUUUGGUUGCGUUUUGCAGUUUGACGUAUUGUGGACUGGAGUAUCUGCCUGUUUUUGCUUCCUUGAUUGGAUCUUGCUGUAUCUAGCGUGAAGCUGAUCAGACCACAAUAAAGUUCCUUGGUUUGCUGAGUUCUCCUUUGGUUUGAUCAAAGGCUGUGGUUUUGGUGGAUUUCGACAGAGUGAGGAUUGCAGGGGUUGUGAUUGUGUUUCGGAUUGGGAUUUCGGAAUUGAUUGAAAAGGCUUUGUUUGUGCUACAGUUUCAACUCUGGGCAAUUGAUUGCAAUACCUUCAAGGUAUCGUUUUUAUCUUUCAUAAUUUAAAAUCUUUCAUUAAUUUAUAUAUUCAUUCAACUGUGGGAUGAAUGAUAGGAUGCUGCUGCUGAUUUGGUCUCCUGAUCAUUCUUUUGUUCUGUAUAAGUUUAGUUAAUUAAACUAUGAUUGACUGAAUUAAUGGAAAAACAAUUUUAUCUUUGGACUUCAGCACUGAACCUGCAGGAUCACAUUUUUGUUAGGAUUAAAAUCCUGUUUAUUAAGUUUAAUUAUCUGAGCUGUGGCAUACCAUGUAUUUUUGAUUGUUUCCCUCUUUUUGAGCAUUUCUGUUUUGGAUCAGUCUGUGUCAUAUUUGUGGAAUUAAGUUUUGCUUGGACCUUUAAAUUGUUAAUCGAUUUCUAUAUAGAUUGAGGUAAGUUGGGUAUUACUAUCUUCUUCAUUGACGAAGAAAGAAUGGUUUAGGGAGAAGAAAGAAUGGUUUAGGGAAAAGAAAGAAUGGGUAUUUUCGGAGAGUUAUAGAAAAUUUUUGAACUAAAGGCAGUCAAUUGCAGUGGGUAUUGAGUAGUUUCUUUUUGUGGUAAUAUUUUAGUUUUGUACAGAUUCAAGUUUGGAAGAAGAUAAUAAAGUGUUUUUAGUUUUAUUUAUUUUCUGUUCAGUUUAAAAAUAAUAGAGUGGCUAUGGGUGUUAGUAUAUCUGGAGAAGAUUAUGGUGUUAGUAUGGGUUUUUUUUAUUUAUAUUUCUUCUGCUUUUCGAUGACAAGUACUAAUACAUUUUGCCAAGGGGUGUUUCUUUCUUUGGUGAAUGCAUUGUCUUAUCUGAUUCAAUUCUUAAUGUUCUGGGUUUUGGGUUUCUUGCCUUUGCUUUUGUUCUGAUGCAUUGGCUUAGACAUUUUAGCAUUGUUCAUAAUAAAAAGAAAAAUGGUGAAAAUUGAGAAAAUUGUUUAAUUGUAUUUAAAAUGGUGAGAAUU